ensembl:snRNA U6 U6 spliceosomal RNA
GUGCUUGCUUCAGCAGCACGUAUACUAAAAUUGAAAUGAUACAGAGAAAAUUAACACGGCCCCUGUGCAAGAACAAUUACACCAAUAUCCAUUAUAUUAGUAAAAUAAUU